UACGUAGGGGGCGAGCGUUGUCCGGAGUUACUGGGCGUAAAGCGCACGCAGGCGGUCGUGUCAGUUUGGGGUUACAGCUCCCGGCUCAACCGGGAGAGCGCCUCGAAGACGGCAGGACUUGAGGGCCAAAGAGGGACACAGAAUUCCGGGAGUAGUGGUGAAAUGCGUAGAUAUCCGGAGGAAUACCAAAGGCGAAGGCAGUGUCCUGGUUGGUACCUGACGCUCAGGUGCGAAAGCUAGGGGAGCGAACGGG
rnacentral:rRNA from 1 species